AAAAACAUAGCCUUAAGAAAUAAUUUAAGGUAAGCCCUGCCCAGUGGAAAUAUUCUUAACGGCCGCAGUACCUUGACUGUGCUAAGGUAGCGUAAUCAGUUGGCUUUUAAAUGGAGUCCAGAAUGAACGGGGCCAUGGGGAAAGACUGUCUCUUUUUUGAUUAAUUUAACUUGCUUAAUAGGUGAAAAUACCUUUUUAAAGAAAAAAGACGAGAAGACCCUUAGAGCCUAACAAUAUAAUAUAAUUUAUUUGUUUUUGUUGGGGCGACAAGAAGACAAAUAAUUAAACUCUUCUUUUAUACUAAACGAUUAUAAUAUAAAAGAACAGGCUACCUUAGGGAUAACAGCAUAAUUAUUUUUAGUUUGUGACCUCGAUGUUGGACUAGGAACUUGAUGACUAGUCGUCAAUAAAGGAAAGUUCUGUUCGAACUGCUUUUCCUACGUGAUCUG
rnacentral:rRNA from 1 species